GAUGUAAUAUUUGCUCAGCAAAUACACAGAUGUUUAUUUUCAGAUUAAGAAAAUUAGCAAGUCAAUCCAAACCUGGAAUUUUUCAGAUAAGAGAGCAACUUUCUAAACAGAAUUCUUGGGUAAUAUUUUGUAAUAUUAAGAAAAGAAUUCAAUUCGUGGAUAUGCAUUAAACUUAAAUAAAAUAAAAUAAAGUUAGCUAUAAUAAAACUAUCUACAUUGAAAGUCAGAACUCUUCCCCACAGCCAGUGUGGAAUUGUCUGAGCCAGACAUAAUGGCUAAGGCCUAUAAUCCAGAAAUUCAGUAGGCAAUGAUCAGAGGGAUGGGAAGUCAAGCCUUGCCUAGAAAAAGAGUUAUCAAGAUCCUCUAGCUUAACCAAUAUCUGGAUGUAGUGAUACAUAACUGUACUCUCAGCUACAC